UUCUCCUUAAAUUACAGAGAGAUUUUCCAGAAUUGCUAAAAUUAUAGUCCUAAUAAUUGAUUGAUACUACUACUAAUUGUAGUAAAUAAAAUGAUUCUGUACAACUAAUUAACUUCCCAACGAAGAACAAUUCACAAGCUCUCAUAUAAUCCUCCUAAAUUCAUUAUUUGUCUCCAAUUAUUUUCUCUCUCUUUAUCUGGAUCAACCUACG
rnacentral:lncRNA from 1 species